rnacentral:rRNA from 1 species
UAGAGUUUGAUCCUGGCUCAGAUUGAACGCUGGCGGCAGGCUUAACACAUGCAAGUCGAGCGGAAACGAUGGUAGCUUGCUACCAGGCGUCGAGCGGCGGACGGGUGAGUAAUGCUUGGGAAUCUGCCUUGAGGUGGGGGAUAACAGUUGGAAACGACUGCUAAUACCGCAUGAUGUCUUCGGACCAAAGUAGGGGAUCUUCGGACCUUACGCCUUUAGAGGAGCCCAAGUGAGAUUAGCUAGUUGGUGAGGUAAUGGCUCACCAAGGCGACGAUCUCUAGCUGGUUUGAGAGGAUGAUCAGCCACACUGGGACUGAGACACGGCCCAGACUUCUACGGGAGGCAGCAGUGGGGAAUAUUGGACAAUGGGCGCAAGCCUGAUCCAGCCAUGCCGCGUGUGUGAAGAAGGCCUUCGGGUUGUAAAGCACUUUCAGACGUGAGGAAAGGGCGUAGGUUAAUAACUUGCAUCUGUGACGUUAGCGUCAGAAGAAGCACCGGCCAACUCCGUGCCAGCAGCCGCGGUAAUACGGAGGGUGCGAGCGUUAAUCGGAAUUACUGGGCGUAAAGGGCACGCAGGCGGUUGACUAAGUCAGAUGUGAAAGCCCAGGGCUCAACCCUGGAACUGCAUUUGAAACUGGUCGACUAGAGUCCUGUAGAGGGGGGUAGAAUUUCA